rnacentral:rRNA from 1 species
CCUACGGGGGGCAGCAGUGAGGAAUAUUGGUCAAUGGACGAGAGUCUGAACCAGCCAAGCAGCGUGAAGGAUGAAUGCCCUAUGGGUUGUAAACUUCUUUUAUAUGGGAAUAAAAUGUUCCACGUGUGGGAUUUUGUAUGUACCAUAUGAAUAAGGAUCGGCUAACUCCGUGCCAGCAGCCGCGGUAAUACGGAGGAUCCGAGCGUUAUCCGGAUUUAUUGGGUUUAAAGGGAGCGUAGGUGGUUUGUUAAGUCAGGUGUGAAAGUUUGCGGCUCAACCGUAAAAUUGCAGUUGAAACUGGCAGUCUGGAGUACAGUAGAGGUGGGCGGAAUGCGUGGUGUAGCGGUGAAAUGCUUAGAUAUCACGAAGAACUCCGAUUGCGAAGGCAGCUCACUGGACUGCAACUGACACUGAGGCUCGAAAGUGUGGGUAUCAAACAGGAUUAGAUACCCGAGUAGUC